rnacentral:rRNA from 1 species
UACCAGCACCCCGAGUGGUCGGGACGAUUAUUGGGCCUAAAGCAUCCGUAGCCGGUCAUGCAAGUCCUCCGUUAAAUCCACCUGCUUAACAGAUGGGCUGCGGAGGAUACUACAAGGCUAGGAGGCGGAAGAGGCAAGCGGUACUCAGUGGGUAGGGGGUAAAAUCCUCUGAUCCAUUGGAGACCACCAGUGGCGAAGGCGGCUUGCCAAUACGCGCUCGACGGUGAGGGAUGAAAGCUGGGGGGAGCAAACCGG